rnacentral:rRNA from 1 species
GAUUUAGUUUUUAUUUAUUAAUUUUUAUUAUUUUUUAUUUAAUUAUUAGAAAUAACUAUAAAAUUUAAAGUUUUAGUAUUGUUUAAAGAAAAAAUAAUUUUAAUAAUAGUUUAUUAGUAUUGUAAAAGAAAAUUGAAAUAAUUUGAAAAAAUUUUAUUUUAAAAGAAAAUUUAAUUUAUUGUACCUUGUGUAUCAGCGUUUAUUAAAUAAAAAAUAAAUAUUUAUUUUUCUCGAUUUUAAAAGAGUUAAUAUAAUAUUUAAGUUAAUGUAACAAAAUUAUUUAUAAUAUUAUAUUAGAAAUGAAAUGUUAUUCGUUUUUAAAGGUAUCUAGUUUUUUAAGAAAUAAAUUUAAUUUAGAAAUUAUAAAUUUACUUAAUUAUUUAUUUAAUUAAUUAGUUUAUAAUUUUAAUAUUUUAUGGGAUAAGCUAUAAAAUAAAGUUUUAAAAAUAUUAAAUGAAUUUAAUAAAUAUAUGCUUAGAAUUAGCAAUUAUUAAAAAAUAUGUUAUAAUUUAUUUUAUAAAUUAAAUUAUUUAUUAAAUUUUAAUUAUUUAUUAAAAUGUUAAUUUUAAUUAUUAAAAUUAAGCAAUAAUGAUAAAAUUAGUAUAUAAUAAUGUAUAAAUUAAUUUUUAUGAAAAGUUUAAAUAAAGAAUUCGGCAAAAAUAAUAUUCGCCUGUUUAACAAAAACAUGUCUUUUUGAAUUAUAUAUAAAGUCUAACCUGCCCACUGAAAAUUUUAAAUGGCCGCAGUAUUUUGACUGUGCAAAGGUAGCAUAAUCAUUAGUCUUUUAAUUGAAGGCUGGAAUGAAUGGUUGGACGAAAUAUUAACUGUUUCAUUUAAAAUUUUUGUAGAAUUUUAUUUUUUAGUCAAAAAGCUAAAAUUUAUUUAAAAGACGAGAAGACCCUAUAAAUCUUUAUAUUUUUUUUUAUUUUAAUUAUAAAGAUUAAUUAAAUUUUAAUAAAUAAAAAUAUUUUAUUGGGGUGAUAUUAAAAUUUAAAAAACUUUUAAUUUUUAAAAACAUUAAUUUAUGAAUAAAUGAUCCAUUAAUAAUGAUUAAAAAAUUAAGUUACUUUAGGGAUAACAGCGUAAUUUUUUUGGAGAGUUCAUAUCGAUAAAAAAGAUUGCGACCUCGAUGUUGGAUUAAGAUAUAAUUUUGGGUGUAGCCGUUCAAAUUUUAAGUCUGUUCGACUUUUAAAUUCUUACAUGAUCUGAGUUCAAACCGGUGUAAGCCAGGUUGGUUUCUAUCUUUAAAAAAUUAUAAUAUUUUAGUACGAAAGGACCAAAUAUUAAAAUAAUUAUAUUUUUUAUAAGAAUAUUAUUAAUGUAAAACUAUUUUGGCAGAUUAGUGCAAUAAAUUUAGAAUUUAUUUA